rnacentral:rRNA from 1 species
GAUGAACGCUGGCGGCGUGCCUAAUACAUGCAAGUCGAGCGAACGGACGAUAAUCUUGCUUCUCUCAUGUUAGCGGCGGACGGGUGACUAACACGUGGAUAACCUACCUAUUAGACUGGGAUAACUUCGAGAAAGCGGAGCUAAUACCAGAUAAUAUUUUUAGUCGCAUGGUUCAAAAGUGAAAUACGUUCUUGCUGUCACUUAUAGAUGUAUCCUCGCUGCAUGAGCUAGUUGGUAAGGUAACGGCUUACCAAGGCAACGAUGCAUAGCCGACCUGGGAACGUGAAGGGCGCCAGUGGAGGUGAGACACGGUACAGAGUCCUACGGGAGGCCGCAGUAGCGACUGGUCCGAACAGGGCGAAAGACUGAAGGAGCAACGCAGCGUGAGUGAUGAAAGUCUUCGGAUCGUAUAACUGUGUUAUUAGGGAAGACCACAUGUGCAAGUAACUGUGCAUAUCUUGACGGUACCUAAACAGAAAGCACCGGCUAACUACGUG